GGGGAUGCUUGCACAAGGGCACCGUCGACUCUACCACGCCGUCAAAAAAGAGGAGGAGGACGCCACCUUCCGCCUCUAGGGUGGAGACGCCACCGAUAACAACCACAUCGGGGAGGCCAGGUGGUCUGGUGGUGGCUUCGAGGCUAGAUGGAGGUCGGAGCUUGACGAAACUGUGGUGAUGGCGGCGGUGCUUCUCUUCCACACUUGCUGUUGAAACUUCUGAAUCUGUGUGGCCUCCACAAGCUUUUACUUCUACAUCCCUGCAUAAUGGAUUGGAACUCAAGAAAUUAAAAGUGAAGGCCUUCUACUGGCAGAUUGAAAGAUGGGAGCUUGAUACUUGGUAAGAGACAAUGGUACCGUACUACAUGGAUCUAGAGCAUUAACCAUAGGAGGUAAACAUGUUUUGAUCUGCUCUAUGACGUAGUUUUCUAAGGUAACUGAUUAUUCUUGCAAAUAUACAACAGUGCAAAUUGACCUCUAGAUGUAUGUGCAAAUAUAUACUUGAGUCUAAUUUAAUUAGCCCGGGGAGGGGAAAGUUA